GGGGUCUGUGCAGGUGGGGACUGUAAAGUAGGGGGCAGCGGGGGGAACUGGAGGCAACUGUGGGGUCUCUGGGGACGGGGAGUCACUGGGGUGCUGGGGGAGGUGGGAAUGGGGCUGUCCCUGCUUCUUAGCUCCAGUUUCUGCUCCUCUUUUGUCAUACAGGGCAUCCCUGGUGCUACUGGACCCAUAGGCCCUUCUGGCCCCCCUGGACUUCCUGGCCCAGCUGGUCCCAAAGGUGCCAAGGGAGCCAUGGUAAGCGCUGAGCCGGUGCCCCCUCCCCCCAGCCCACCACCACGUUCAGUCCUGCCCCAGACUGACGUUUGUGUCUCUUUCCUUUAGGGCCAAGCAGGACCC
rnacentral:lncRNA from 1 species